CGUUGCUCUAAAUUUUCUCCAUUCUUAAUCCAGAACGUCUUCCUUGUCUUGAGCUGAGCUUCUCUUGAGCAAACCUCCAAGACAGGGGUCUCCAACCUUGGCAACUUUAAGACUUGUGGACUUCAACUCCCAGAGUUCCUCAGUAUUGCCCUCUCGCGGCCUUCUGGAAGCUUGCAGCCCAGCUGACGGGUAGUAACCGGAGCAGCAGAGCCGGCCCCCGUUUCUGAGUCUCCUGUUGUGCUUCGGCGGAAGUGACGUCAUGGAGCGGAAUCGCAACAGCUGCGACUGGGCGCUGCAGCGCGGCGAACGAAGCGAGACAAUGGAGUUGAAGGAUGCCGUGGUGGGAGACGAAGGGUUCGGCGACCUGUGGAAGUGAAGCCGGAGAGGUGGCGGGAACAGACGCGUCCGCUCCAUAGAGCGAAGUUUAGAUCGGAGAGAGAGACCCGGGUCGGCUUAAGUAAGCCGGGUCUGCGAAGGGGAGGUCCUUCUGCUAGAUGCCGGUUCUGCAAAUUAUUAGAAAUCUCAAACACUAAUACUGAAAAAAAGAAUACAUCAAAUACCUUGAGAAACAGAUUACAUAAUUGAAAUUCAGAUCAUGGAGUCUUCAACCAAUCUAGAUGCUGAUACCCAGCUAAUUGUGGAAGAUUGUGCUGGCACCUUUAGCUUGUCUCAUAUGCCAGAUAUUAAAGUUGAACAUCACCUUGAGUCCAGUGUGGAAGAAGGACCACCUCAGAGUGUUACCAUGGGAAUGAAAUUCAUCUUGCCCAAUAGGUUUGAUAUGAAUGUAUGUUCUCGAUUUGUCAAGUCCUUGAAUGAAGAGGAUAGCAAAAAUAUUCAAGAUCAAGUGAAUUCUGACCUUGAAGUGGCUUCAGUAUUAUUUAAAGCUGAGUGCAACAUCCACACUUCUCCUUCUCCUGGGAUUCAAGUGAGACACGUCUAUACUCCAUCAACUACUAAGCAUUUUUCACCUAUCAAGCAGUCAACUACUUUAACUAACAAGCACAGAGGAAAUGAAGUUUCUACAACACCUUUACUUGUAAACUCUCUGUCUGUUCACCAGCUGGCAGCUCAGGGAGAAAUGUUAUAUUUAGCUACACGUAUAGAACAAGAAAAUGUUAUCAAUCAUAUGGAUGAAGAAGGCUUUACUCCUCUAAUGUGGGCUGCAGCUCACGGGCAAAUCGCAGUAGUAGAAUUUCUACUCCAAAAUGGUGCAGACCCACAAAUCUUGGGGAAAGGACGAGAGAGUGCACUUUCACUAGCAUGUAGUAAAGGAUAUACAGACAUUGUCAAGAUGCUACUGGAUUGUGGAGUUGAUGUAAAUGAAUAUGACUGGAAUGGUGGUACACCCUUGCUCUAUGCUGUUCAUGGGAAUCAUGUGAAAUGUGUCAAAAUACUCUUAGAACAUGGUGCUGAUCCAACUGUAGAAACUGAUUCUGGAUAUAAUUCUAUGGAUCUCGCUGUAGCCUUGGGCCAUCGUAGUGUUCAACAGGUUAUUGAGACUCAUUUAUUAUCACUCCUUCAAAAUAUCAAAGAAUAAUAGCUAUGGAAUAAGAGAAGAAAUGGACUUCAGUAUAAAAGCAUCUCUUAAUUGGUAACUUGUCACAAAAGCCCUUCUCUGGUCUUAGACUGAAAUACAGAUUUCUACAAGCUUUUGUCCAAGCACUAGUGCAGCUGUUAUUUUAUCUAAAAAUCAAGAUUCAUUCAACUGAGACAACAUGCAUUGUCAUGAACUGUACACUUGUGAACAUUUUGUUGAUGUCUACUGUACUUAUAAAUUAUUCCUGUGAGAUACCAGUGUCUAAAUCAGAGAUCUUCAAACUUGAUAGCUUUAAGACUUGUGGACUUCAACUCGCAGAAUUCUUCCUCCAGUCAUGUUAGCUCAGGAAUUCUGGGAGUUAAAGUCCACAAGCCUUAAACUUGCCAAGUUUGAAGACCCUUGGUCUAAAUAAUUGUUUCAAAUUCAGUAUUCUUUGCAUCUAGACAUAAUGAACACAAUUCUGCUAAUGAUCCAGUUGUUCAAGACAACGUAUAGUCAUUUGCUGUUAAUAAACUGCUGUCUUAAAAAUAAAAGCAAAGAAACCAGAACAGCUCCUAAUGGUAGUUUUAUCGAUGUGUAGUUAUUUUGAACAAUUAUUUAUAUUAACUUCCACACGGAAAGGAGAAUGGCAAACAAUUGCUGUAAAGAAUAAACUAAAAAAAAAAUCACCCUAUCACUAAAAUCUCAGCAACUCAAAAGAUUUUUUCCUUUAUUAUUUGAAAGUCUAUUGUAAAUGCCUUUAGGCUCUUCUGAAGCCAUGUGAUCUUAUUAUUCUGCAUUGUCCACACUGUAUAGAUAUGUUAGCAAAGAUCAUGCAUACAUAUUCAUUUAAAUAAACAAAGGAAUUUUUUUAUAUUAAAUAACAUCCUUUUAAGUUUGCCUUCUCC